ensembl:lncRNA
CAGCGCACCAGUGAUUGAUACACCCCUUUAGCUUAGUGUGGAGGAGAAUGGUAAUAUAUGCACAGUUGACAUAUAUUGUCUAACUCAGAAUGUGACGGAGGCUUAGAGACAUUUCAACACCAGUUCUAUAUCUCACACACACAAAGCAAUACUUGUUUAGAGGGGCGAUGGUAAACAACAUAUUCAAUUGUGAAACAUGGAUGAAGAUAGACCUGAAGAAGAGACCUCAGUCUGGGAACUCCUCCACCUCCAAGAGCACCUCUCCCACCCUGACCCCAUCUCCAUCCCCCACCCCCAAGCCUGCCCUGGGGGACUCCCUGUCCUCUGCCUCCUCCCACCCACGCUCCAAGAGCAGCGGUGGCUCCAGUAGUGGCACCAUCACCGAUGAGGGUGAGCCUGGGCAUCUGUGUUUGGUAUGAAUACUUUAAAAACACACCCUUCCUCUGCUGAUCUCUGCUUGUCUCUUACUACAAAAAUAUUAACUAUACAGUAUCCUGAUGAACAGAUGAACUAUCCAGCCCAUAUUCGAAGAGCAAGAGGGAGGAGAGAGGCAGAUUUUGCAGUAGACCAUCCACAACUUCCAGUCCUCCUUUGGCAGCAGUACCAGUAACCCCAGACCACCAGGACAUCCACGCUGUGAGUGUUAUGACAUCACAAACCCCUAUCCAGGGUGCAGGACACAUGGUGUCUGAAU